UACGUAGGGGGCAAGCGUUGUCCGGAAUCAUUGGGCGUAAAGAGCGUGUAGGCGGCCCGGUAAGUCCGCUGUGAAAGUCCAGGGCUCAACCCUGGGAUGCCGGUGGAUACUGUCGGGCUCGAGUCCGGAAGAGGCGAGUGGAAUUCCUGGUGUAGCGGUGAAAUGCGCAGAUAUCAGGAGGAACACCAAUGGCGAAGGCAGCUCGCUGGGACGUGACUGACGCUGAGACGCGAAAGCGUGGGUAGCGAACAGG
rnacentral:rRNA from 1 species